rnacentral:rRNA from 1 species
AGUGAACGCUGGCGGUAGGCCUAACACAUGCAAGUCGAACGGCAGCACAGGAGAGCUUGCUCUCUGGGUGGCGAGUGGCGGACGGGUGAGGAAUACAUCGGAAUCUACUCUGUCGUGGGGGAUAACGUAGGGAAACUUACGCUAAUACCGCAUACGACCUACGGGUGAAAGCAGCGGAUCUUCGGACCUUGCGCGAUUGAAUGAGCCGAUGUCGGAUUAGCUAGUUGGCGGGGUCAAGGCCCACCAAGGCGACGAUCCGUAGCUGGUCUGAGAGGAUGAUCAGCCACACGGGAACUGAGACACGGUCCAGACUCCUACGGGAGGCAGCAGUGGGGAAUAUUGGACAAUGGGCGCAAGCCUGAUCCAGCCAUACCGCGUGGGUGAAGAAGGCCUUCGGGUUGUAAAGCCCUUUUGUUGGGAAAGAAAUCCAGCUGGCUAAUACCCGGUUGGGAUGACGGUACCCAAAGAAUAAGCACCGGCUAACUUCGUGCCAGCCGCCGCAGUAA